ensembl:lncRNA
GGGAGCUUCAGUUGUAAAGAUAACCAUCUGGUCGAAGUGAAUAAGAACUCAUUGAUUUCAAACACUCAGUGGACUUCUCCCCAGCGUACCUUGAGUAUGAAGUAACACGCAAAGAGAAGCUCCCAUCUGGGGCCUCAGAUUAUUGUAAUGUAUGCCUGUUAUGUUGUUUGUUGAUGCAUGUUGUGAUGUAUCUUUGUUCGUACUUUUAAUACAAAUAUAUAUAACCACUAAUUGUCAACAGUAUUGUGUGCUUUUUUGCAUCUAAAUAUCUCAUCUGCUUAGACGCAAUAUCUGACACAGAAAUUGCCACGACAGUUGGGGGCUCGUCCGGGAUAUCUAACCUGAAGAUUCUACGAAAUAUCAGCUUCCAAUACAGGUCUGAGGAUUCGUUCUCAGUCCCAAAGCCCUACCUCGCCUCCAGGUGACUGUAACCAGACUGUUUUAUGGCCAGAGGUCGAGGAAAGGGUGCCUGUGGGGAUAAACUAGUGGUUCUUCAGUACGGUAUCCAAAGGAAAAAAGAAUUCGAGCAGGUGAGAUCACAAUACUGUUAAAGCUUCAAAAUAAAAUCCGUUACAGAAACGGUAUAUAAAUGUUUCGGUAAACGUAAACUUAUAUCUGAACUUAGGCCUCGUUCAAAGAAACUCUGUUAUAGGAACAUGCGGUAGCUCCGUUUCGCUUCCGUCAAUAUAUAUAUAGCUAUAUAGGUAACAGAAAGGGCAGCUAGGGUCUGUCAGGGACGGUAAAGGGAAACCCGUUGAAGCGCGGUUGGUGUUAUAUAUAUAUAUAGAUAAUAAUAACGGGCAUUCAUUAAUUUAAAUAUAUGUAUAUGUGUGUAGUAACAAGGAGGUUUCGGCGAUAUUAGAUAAUUUGUUAAAUAAUAACUAGUGUAAAAGGAUCUAAAAUAUGGGGAACAAAUCUGGAAAAACGGAGAUAACGGGACCUGCGAAGGUGAUGUUGGAGAAGCAUGGUGAAGCGGCUCUGGAGGGUUUAAAAUAUUGGUGCAAACUGGGUUUUCUUGAGAUGGGGAGUUUUAGCUUAAAACGGUUGUUGAAGUUUUAAUUAUGUUGGUGUGCAUUUCAUUUGAGGGAAAGAGAGAGAAGAAAAAAAAUCAGCCAGGGACAGAGAGCGUAGAGAGUGUAGGAAUAUUUUUAUCUCAAUUUCACCCGAGAUGUAGACCCGGACCUGGACUGCACCGGCGGACCGCGUGCGAAUCCCCCUUCACCUCCACCUUAUGACGACAACGCCCAGCUAGGCCGCCGCCCCAUCAUUCAACCUCUAUCCAGACCUCACGGCAAAGGAGGCACCCGCUAACAGCGCAACAGGGGUUAUGGCAGUCCGGCAUACGUUUUCCGUGCAUGGAGACCCAGUGACAUUAAGGACAUAGCAGAAUGUCUACCGGACCCAUCUGCAGUGGGAGGGGAAUCCCCUCGCUACAGCCAGUCUGGAAAUGGCCCAUCACCCAUCGGCGAACCACGCCAAGUCAAACUGGGCCUACGGUGGGGUCGUAUUCAAGGCGACAUUCCCGGGAGAGACCAAGCUGAUAUAAUGUUCGUGGAGGCGCCGGACGGCAAGGACGACCACAGGAAAGUGGGGAAGCACAGAGGCAGGCCUGCUUUCGUUGUGGCGUCAUGGAUCCUUGGUUCAACGAUUCUCCCAAAAGAAUCGACAAAGACAAUGGAAGGGCCGGCUGGCAGUUCGCACCUUCCCGUGAAGUGACUGUGAAUCAUCCAAGAGGCGGAGGUGGAAGGGGGCAUUCGCAUUGACGGGACGCGGGAGCAGACCAGGUCCAAGGAGCAGCCCGACCAGUGGCCCAAUACAGUGCAAAUACCCCACGUCACAACUCCUCUGCAUCAGACUUUAUGAAGUUACAGACCAUGGGAGGCCCACCUGAAGAGCUACGGAACGGUCUGCUGGACGACACAAGGAGACAGUCCAGCAGGACCAACAGCACCAAAGUGGUGGCCUCCAUGGUGCCUGUGUAGCCACAAGGAAGUGGCCUGAACAUUGAGACAAAGGAGGGUCUCAGAGACGGGAGAGACGUGGGGACAGGCACUUCAAAGGACAGCCCGUGAUGCAAAUGAGAGGCAGAAAGCAAAGAGAGAGAGGUGGAGGCGUGUCCAGGCGGAUGGAGAGAAGAGCAGUGUCCAGGCGGAUGUAAAGUAUCGCACUAGACACAGCAUACAUAUUACAAGAGAAAGAUCUAAUGUGUAACUAGGACUGUGUAUAAAUUGUGUGAUAAUUUCUUACAUCUGAAAGGUUUGAAAGUCAUCAGGAAAAGUGGUUUGAAGAAACAUAGACAAGUAGAAAAGUUGAAGGUUAAAGAAAUGUGUUAGACAGAGUUCAAAUGUACGACAGCGGUAGAAUUCAUUAAGGCACAAAACGUUAAAAUUGAACCCCAAAAGCAUAACCAUGAUGUAUGCUACAAUGUUUUUCAGAAUUAAAGUAGAAGGUUUUUGGUGCGCUCGCAACAGCAAGCCAUGCUUACAGGCCUGGGCUUUCCCUUAUUUAUGGUAAAUUUACACAUGGGAGAAUCAUGCGUCAAGAGGGGGGAUUGGGAGCCCACAACAACAACCUUGGGUAUACCAAAGCAAACCAAAGGAAAUAAUUACAAAAAAAAAAAGAAUUAAACAAACCCCAUGUAGGUCCCUCAGAGACAUCAUGAAGGACAAUGGGAAAGAGAAGAAGAAUACCGUUUAAAUGUUGGGUUAAUAUUUUUGUUUAGAAAUGUUUUUAAAAGGUAGCCUUGUUUCUUUGUUUUGGUUUUCUUUUCUGUUUUUAUUUUUAUGACUUUUGAAUAUAUGGAAACAGAUGACUUGAUUGUGAUGUUAGGUGAUUUUAUGCUACCUUCUGUAAAAGCGAACGGUGGUAUAAAUAGUCUGAACAACCUCCUAUAAAAGCGGGGAAGUGCUGAUGGUCGGACAUGAUAGAUUUUUGAAUUUGUGAUUAUAAAAUAAUCAAAGGGGGGAUUGUGAUGGAAAAUCUACAUGUUGUUACGUUUUUGGUCUAUCUAUGAACUUAUUUUGUGUGAUGCAUAUAUUGACUGCCUUCUGCUCUCCUUUUGGGUCAUUUAAAGUGUGAACGUUAGAGGGUCGCGUGAUGCAUUUUAUUGCCUGCCUCUUCCUAUCUUUUCGUGUGUUGUAAAUCAGCUUUCAAGCCACGCUUUGAUGUAUGGGCUUGUUCCACGACCCCCUGGCUAGCGUAAACGAAGAGGGGGUUAGGUGGCACGGCCGCUACCCCCUCCAAUGGCAUCCAGGGGAGCUUCAGUUGUAAAGAUAACCAUCUGGUCGAAGUGAAUAAGAACUCAUUGAUUUCAAACACUCAGUGGACUUCUCCCCAGCGUACCUUGAGUAUGAAGUAACACGCAAAGAGAAGCUCCCAUCUGGGGCCUCAGAUUAUUGUAAUGUAUGCCUGUUAUGUUGUUUGUUGAUGCAUGUUGUGAUGUAUCUUUGUUCGUACUUUUAAUACAAAUAUAUAUAACCACUAAUUGUCAACAGUAUUGUGUGCUUUUUGCAUCUAAAUAUCUCAUCUGCUUAGACGCAAUAUCUGACACAGAAAUUGCCACGACA